rnacentral:rRNA from 1 species
CCUACGGGAGGCAGCAGUGGGGAAUAUUGCGCAAUGGGCGAAAGCCUGACGCAGCGACGCCGCGUGAGGGAUGAAGGUCUUCGGAUCGUAAACCUCUGUCAGCAGGGAAGAACGGUCACUGUGCUAAUCAGCAGUGAAUUGACGGUACCUGCAAAGGACGCACCGGCUAACUCCGUGCCAGCAGCCGCGGUAAUACGGAGGGUGCGAGCGUUAAUCGGAAUUACUGGGCGUAAAGCGCUCGUAGGCGGUAUGUCAAGUCAAGGGUGAAAUCCCCGCGCUCAACGUGGGAACUGCCUUUGAAACUGGCAGACUGGAGUGUGUGAGAGGAUAGUGGAAUUCCAGGUGUAGGAGUGAAAUCCGUAGAUAUCUGGAGGAACAUCAGUGGCGAAGGCGAGUAUCUGGCACAUAACUGACGCUGAGGAGCGAAAGCGUGGGUAGCAAACAGGAUUAGAUACCCUUGUAGUC